AGCGAACGCUGGCGGCAGGCCUAACACAUGCAAGUCGAACGAACUCUUCGGAGUUAGUGGCGGACGGGUGAGUAACACGUGGGAACGUGCCUUUAGGUUCGGAAUAGCUCCUGGAAACGGGUGGUAAUGCCGAAUGUGCCCUUCGGGGGAAAGAUUUAUCGCCUUUAGAGCGGCCCGCGUCUGAUUAGCUAGUUGGUGGGGUAAUGGCCCACCAAGGCUACGAUCAGUAGCUGGUCUGAGAGGAUGACCAGCAACAUUGGGACUGAGACACGGCCCAAACUCCUACGGGAGGCAGCAGUGGGGAAUCUUGCGCAAUGGGCGAAAGCCUGAAGCAGCCAUGCCGCGUGUAUGAUGUAGGUCUUAGGAUUGUAAAAUACUUUCACCGGUGAAGAUAAUGACUGUAGCCGGAGAAGAAGCCCCGGCUAACUUCGUGCCAGCCGCCGCCGUAAAAC
rnacentral:rRNA from 1 species